GGUUGCCAAUAUAUUUCCCUAUAUACAGGAAAAUUCUCUCAAGGAUUUUAAACAAACGCUUGCUGUCUAUGCAAAUUAUUUUCGUGAUAACAGAACAUCCUACAGCGAGAAACAAACGUCAACCCAUGGUGCGGGAUAGAACCUGUCUGUAUAAUAUGACAAUCGUCCUGAUGAUGGAGACAGCUAGGACCUCUGCAACGUUGGUAAUCUUCCUUCAGACUACACGGCGACGAAAAUAACCGUCUUCUGGGAUGUUGCCCUAUUUAGUGAGGCAGAAAUUUACCAACAUUUCAGAGGUGCACACUGCUUUCAUCAGGGCGAUUUAUCGUAAUGGAGACAUUCUAUAAUUUCACAGCAGUGUUCGAUCUCUGCACAACAUCACGGAACACGUUAACAGCCUUGAUCAGCAACUGCAACUGUUCGUGUGUCCAUGGAGUUGAGCCCUUCUUACUUCUACCUGUAGUUCCUGAGCCACCUCCACAGGAACGAGUGGCAGAUUCCAUCAGUUCUUGCCGCUCUCGCUCAAUGCGACGUUCUGUUUCCUCCAUUGCUUGAAGGAAAGCUUCCCGACCAUCGAGCGUCAAUUUCGUAACUAGUUCUUCCAGCCUGGGGCAAAAAAGAAAUUUUGAUUGUCUCAAGAAAAGUGAACUGAAUGUAGAAAUGAUAACUCCGUUUUAUGAGAUCUACAAAAUUUCUCUUCGAGUACACAGUAACAAAGGAUAUGAUUGGCUGGUUUGUCACAAGACACUGGUACAUAAUUUAUCUCCACUUCUAUUUCUAAAGUUAUGUAUCUUACAAAACUAAACUAUUAUUAUCUUGUCAGUAAUCCUUAUUUUCUGUGGCAGAUACAGUAACCAGGAUGAAUCAUUAUACAACGGAACAAUUCACAAAAUCACAGGAAACACUGUCGUUGAAAGGGAAGGGAAGCAAGACAUCGGUCAUAAAUUUCUUCAUGGGCGGUUCGACUCAAAUUUAUAUUGUGCUUAGAGUUUUCAUGAAAAUGUGAAUGUCUAUCAGUUUUGAGGACUAUUGCGCCAAGCUGUAUCACUACGGUAAUGUAAAUUGUAUGCUCACAUUCUGCUAAUAUUACAAUACUAACAAAGUUUAAAAGAAAUACAAUUAAAGCUGCAAAAUAUACAAUCAUUUCAGUCCAAGUA